rnacentral:lncRNA from 1 species
GGGGCUUGUAGAUGUUUUCUUUUCUGGCGGGCUUUCCGGUUCCUCAUCUUCUUCUUUGGGAGAAGGAGUCUUUUCCUUUGAUGCCUUUGAAGCUGUGGGGCGACCCACUUUCCCUUUGCCUUUCACUGGACUUGGCGUCACUGUAGCCUUUAGUCUGGGUUUGGGCAUUUUCUUUUCUUUUCUUUCAGGUUUGGACUUCUUAACCAUCUUUUUGUUUUUCUUUUUCGAACUGCCAUAGUCACUAUCGUCAUCAUCUUCCAUUAGGAAAUCUUCAUCGCUGCCGGAAUUCUCCUGGAAUGGUGCCUCAUCCUCCUCUUCUUGUUCUUCCUCACUGCCCACAUCUUCCAUGAGCAUCUCUCUCUGUUUAGAAGCUGCUUUAGAUGCCGCCUGCCGUUGUUGGCGCACAUUUUUAUGAUCUUCUUUUUCAUCUUCACUAUCCUCUGCUGAGUGAGAAUCAUCCUUCUUGGUCUUCACAUCUUUGUCUUCUGAGUCCUCACUAUCUUCCUGUGAAUUCUUUCCAGAUCGCCUCUUAUUUUUAGCUUCUCGGGGAGAUGAUCGAAUUUUCUUAGUGGGAGGGCCCGAAUCUCUUCCAUAAU